CUGGGGAUGGGCCUGCGGCUGAUUAGCUAGUUGGUGAGGGUAAUGGCCCACCAAGGCGAGGAUCAGUAGCUGGCCUGAGAGGGCGGCCGGCCACAUUGGGACUGAGACACGGCCCAGACUCCUACGGGAGGCAGCAGUGAGGAAUCUUCUGCAAUGGGCGCAAGCCUGACAGAGCAACGCCGCGUGGAGGAAUAAGGCCACUCAAGGCUGUAAACUCCUUUGCACGGGCACAGGAAGGCUGACCGCCCGGGAAGCAAGCAUCGGCUAACUCCGUGCCAGCAGCCGCGGUAAUACGGGGGAUGCAAGCGUUAUCCGGAUUUACUGGGCGUAAAGCGUCUGUAGGCGGUUCGGUGUGUCUGUUGUCAAAACGCAGGGCCUAACUCUGUGGGGCAUCUGGAUACUAUCGAACUAGAGGGCGGUAGAGGUGGGGGGAACCCCUCGAGGAGCAGUGAAAUGCUUUUGAUACGUGGAGGAAGGCCGGAGGCGAAAGCUCC
rnacentral:rRNA from 1 species